UACGUAGGGGGCAAGCGUUAUCCGGAUUUACUGGGUGUAAAGGGAGCGUAGACGGUUUGGCAAGUCUGAAGUGAAAGCUCGGGGCUCAACCCCUGAACUGCUUUGGAAACUGUCGAACUGGAGUGCAGGAGAGGUAAGCGGAAUUCCUAGUGUAGCGGUGAAGUGCGUAGAUAUUAGGAGGAACACCAGAGGCGAAGGCGGCUUACUGGACUGUAACUGACGUUGAGGCUCGAAGGCGUGGGGAGCAAAC
rnacentral:rRNA from 1 species